rnacentral:ncRNA from 1 species
UGAUAGAGGUGCGGAAAUCAUUAGUAAGGUAUUUUUUUGAGGGAAAUGAAAAUACUUGAAAGGGUUAUCUACCGAGGGAUUUUAAGUCUGCCCGAGAUUUAAAGUUACCGGGACGAUUGGAGAAUAUCUGUCGUACUGCCAUUAUUAAUGGUGAGCUGUC